rnacentral:rRNA from 1 species
AUGGGUGAUAGUAAUACAAGAUACUUCCAAUUGGUCGCCAAUGGGCGGCAUAGGAAGAAAUGUAUUUACAGUCUCCAACAAGAUGAGGGGCGGAUCGAAGGUCAGGAGGAGCUCAAAAAGUAUAUCACCAACUACUACAAAUCUCUAUUCGGGGCGACCGCCGAAGGGAACUUCACCCUUGAUGAGACCCGAACAGAUGAUAUCCCACGAGUCACGACUGAAGAAAACGAUAUCCUUACAUCACCAUUCUCUGAAGAGGAGGUGAGAGCUGCGGUGUUCCAAAUGGAACACAACAAAGCUCCAGGUCCAGAUGGUUUUCCCGCAGAAUUCUAUCAGAAUUUCUGGGAUAUAAUCAAGUCUGACCUAAUGGAGUUGUUUAAUUGCCUUCAUGCCGACAAACUUGACCUAUUCAGACUUAAUUUUGGUGAGAUUGUCUUGUUGCCGAAGAUUAAGGAGGCUGAACGGAUCCAACAGUUCAGACCCAUAUGCCUCCUUAAUGUCAGCUUCAAAAUUUUCACCAAAGUGAACAUGAGUGGAGUAGUAUUCAAGAUCGACUUUGAAAAAGCCUAUGACAAGGUCAAAUGGUCUUUCCUCCAACAGGCCCUAAGGAUGAAAGGUUUCUCCGAUAAAUGGCGCGAGUGGAUCCAUAAUUUUGUAACUGGAGGUAGUGUGGCCAUCAAAGUCAAUGAUGAUGUAGGCCAUUACUUUCAAACAAAAAAAGGAUUACGACAGGGUGACUCCAUGUCUCCAAUGUUAUUUAACAUUGUCGCUGACAUGUUGGCUAUUCUGAUUGAGCGCGCCAAGCAGGACGACCAGAUUGCAGGAGUAGUGCCG